rnacentral:tmRNA from 1 species
GGGGCUGAUCGGUUUCGACAGCAAGAUGAAAGGGGAUGUAAGCAUGCCGGGCUAUGGAGAUGUCGCCCGUAAAUAAGAUGCUUCAAACUAUAGUUGGCGAAAACAAUUUCGCACUUGCCGCCUAAGCACGCAGUAUGCGGCUUUGAGCUAAUCCACGCGUAAGACGCGGGAGCAAGUCAUUCCUCCGAACCUAAGUCUAGAUGGUUUGGAUCCAGGAGUGUCAUUAAAUCUGGACUAACGGGCAAAGGAUUGCGUAGUGCCCGCGACACUGUAAUCCGCAAAUAAGCUAGUACUCGGGUGUUUGUUCCCAGGUCCUAGUCGAAAAUCGAAUAACAAAAUAAGCAUGUAGAAAGCCUUCCGUUUCCUUGUUUGCACCGGGGUUCGACUCCCCGCAGCUCCACC